UCAGGACAAAAUGUUGCUACUCUACAUCAGCAUAGAAUCAUUACAACAAUAAAGCCAUGCCAAGCAUCAUGAAUCUUCCAUUACCAUGACCUCAACCCUUACAGCAGCGAGACCUGCAUUAACCAUCUUGCAGCCAUAAUCCACUCACCUAAAUUGAAUCAAUCCAAUACACCAAAUAUGGACCUAUGCAUCCUAUAAGUUGAUUUUAACCCUGCAAUUGCCAUGACUCUGUCAAACAAAUAUGGACAUUGUUUCCAAGAACAGAUACAUAAGCUGAAGUUUUGUUUCGUGUUGCGCAUAUCGUAUGGAAAACAGGUCACAAUCAGUUAGACCUCAAGGCAAAAACUGCAGAAGCAUGUUGAAAAGAAAUCUUUUAUUAUAACCAAUGCUUUAUAGACAAGGUUAAUACAGGAAAGCUCAAAUCACUUAUAAACCAUGAUUGACGAACCUUAAGUCAGGUAGAAGCAUUGUUGUUGUGCGCAUAACCAUGACCAAUGAUAGUAGGCAAACUUCAGGAGGAAUAAACCUGCCAAGACAGGAAUUACCAGUUACCCGACUAUGAAUGAAAAUUGAAAGUUCAAGUCAUAUAAAAGGAUUACAAAUAUAAAAAUUAAGUUAAGGUUUCUACUGCAGUAAAGAAAAAUCUCAACGCACCACAUAGUUUUUUUGUUCACUACGGACAAAACCCUAUCCUUUCAUUUCGGGGACCAAAUCAAUUUGGAGGACCACCAAAUCUGGAAGGGUUCAUGAAGGAUGAGAACCAAUGAACCUCGUACUCGACUCUAUAAAAGGGGGCAUUGAACCAUUGAAGACUCUCUCGGAUUUACGCAUCGUUACUCUGCCAAAAAAUCACCAUCAAAUCACCAAAGUUCAUAUUAUAAAAACUACCCAGAGUUUCUCAUUGAAACUUUGGAUUAGUCGAACUAAACCGACCAUCGCGACUUGCGACAUAGAAAGGAAGAAGAAGAAGACAAGGAGCGCAAGAGGGCGGAAAGAAGGAAAGAAGGAGUAGAUACCUGAAGCCAUCACCACCGCCGGAAUUUUGCCGGAUUCCCAAGGUUUUCACGAGACCCAUUCGCCUUCACGUUAGGGUUUGCUCUUUUCUACUCUUCGAGAGAUUUUUGCUUGCACCUGUUUUGUGUUUGUUUUAAGCUAGAUGACUAUUGAUGUUGGUAUGGGAUAUGUUUAAGAUUCCAAAAACUUGAUGUUGUAUUUAAGGUUUGUGGCUCCAUUAAAACUCGUGGGUAGGGAUGGGUCUGUAGUUCGUAAAUGUUCAUCCCAUUUUCGACUGAGGUAGAUGUUAGAAAUUUUUUGGUCUUAUAAUAUUUGAAGGUUGGUUUUUGUUUGAAGCCAUAGUUUUAGAGUUAAAGGAAGAAGGAAGUGUAUCGUUCCUUUUUAAUAUCAGCAAUUUCGACUGAGGUAGAUGUUAGAAAUUUUUUGGUCUUAUAAUAUUUGAAGGUUGGUUUUUGUUUGAAGCCAUAGUUUUAGAGUUAAAGGAAGAAGGAAGUGUAUCGUUCCUUUUUAAUAUCAGCAUCUAAGGGCAAUUCUUUUUAAAAAAUCACAUUUAUCCAUGGUAUGAAAGUGGAGUUUCCUAGCUUUAA
rnacentral:lncRNA from 1 species